GAGAAUAAAUAAAUAAAUUCGAGAUAAGAAGAGCUCAGCUUACAGUUCAAGUUCGAGUAAUGACUCUGAAUUUAUAUCACCCUGGAUGUGUGCCAAA